rnacentral:rRNA from 1 species
CAGCCCUAAACGAUGCGCGUUAGGUGUAUCGGUGACCACGAGUCACCGAGGUGCCGAAGGGAAACCGUGAAACGUGCCGCCUGGGAAGUACGGUCGCAAGGCUGAGACUUAAAGGAAUUGGCGGGGGAGCACCACAACGGGUGGAGCCUGCGGUUUAAUUGGAUUCAACGCCGGAAAUCUUACCGGGACCGACAGCAACAUGAAGGCCAAGCUGAAGACUUUGCCGGAUUAGCUGAGAGGAGGUGCAUGGCGUAGUCGUGU